AGCGAACGCUGGCGGCAGGCCUAACACAUGCAAGUCGAACGAACCUUUCGGGGUUAGUGGUGGACGGGUGAGUAACACGUGGUAACGUGCCUUUAGGUUCGGAAUAACUCAGGGAAACUUGUGCUAAUACCGAAUGUGCCCUUCGGGGGAAAGAUUUAUCGCCUUUAGAGCGGCCCGCGUCUGAUUAGCUAGUUGGUUGAGGUAAUGGCUCACCAAGGCGACGAUCAGUAGCUGGUCUGAGAGGAUGAUCAGCCACAUUGGGACUGAGACACGGCCCAAACUCCUACGGGAGGCAGCAGUGGGGAAUCUUGCGCAAUGGGCGAAAGCCUGACGCAGCCAUGCCGCGUGAAUGAUGAAGGUCUUAGGAUUGUAAAAUUCUUUCAACGGGGACGAUAAUGACGGUACCCGGAGAAGAAGCCCCGGCUAACUUCGUG
rnacentral:rRNA from 1 species